rnacentral:tRNA from 1 species
CCGUCGAUAGCUCAGUUGGUAGAGCGGUGGACUGUAGAGGCUUCACGCUAUGGACAUCCAUAGGUCGCUGGUUCGAAUCCGGCUCGACGGA